GAUGAACGCUGGCGGCGUGCUUAGCACAUGCAAGUCGAACGAAGCACUUAAGAUUGCUUCUUCGGAUGACGUCUUUUGUGACUUAGUGGCGGACGGGUGAGUAACGCGUGGGUAACCUGCCUCACACAGGGGGAUAACAGUUAGAAAUGACUGCUAAUACCGCAUAACCCGAUAGGAUCGCAUGAUCCAGACGGAAAAGAUUUAUCGGUGUGAGAUGGACCCGCGUCUGAUUAGCUAGUUGGUGAGGUAACGGCCCACCAAGGCGACGAUCAGUAGCCGGCCUGAGAGGGUGAACGGCCACAUUGGGACUGAGACACGGCCAAAACUCCUACGGGAGGCAGCAGUGGGGAAUAUUGCACAAUGGGGGAAACCCUGAUGCAGCGACGCCGCGUGAGUGAAGAAGUAUUUCGGUAUGUAAAGCUCUAUCAGCAGGGAAGAAAAUGACGGUACCUGACUAAGAAGCCCCGGCUAACUACGUG
rnacentral:rRNA from 1 species